CCAAUCGAACCCGGAGAUAGCUGGUUCUCCUCGAAAUAGCUUUAGGGCUAGCCUCAUGGAUCAUUGGUGGGGGUAGAGCACUGAAUGUGCGCGGGGGCCACAAAGCCUACCAAACGCUAUCAAACUUCGAAUACCAUACAAUGCAGACCAUGGGAGUCAGUCCGCGAGAGAUAAGUUCCGCGGGCAAAAGGGGAACACCCCAGAUCAACCGCUAAGGUCCCCAAGUUCACGUUAAGUGGAGAAGGAUGUGGAAUUGCACAGACAACCAGGAUGUUGGCUCAGAAGCAGCCACACAUUUAAAGAGUGCGUAAUAGCUCACUGGUCGAGUGAUUGUGCGCCGAAGAUGUCCGGGGCUAAACGUGACACCGAAGCGAUGGGUGCGUCUGAAGAAGAUGCGCGGUAGAGGAGCAAUGUGCAGAGGCAGAAGCCGUAUCGAGAGGCACGGUGGACACUGCACAAGAGAGAAUGCCGGUAUGAGUAGCGAGAGGCAUGCGAGAAACAUGCCCGUCGAAAGCCCAAGGUUUCCUGGGGAAGGUUCAUCCGCCCAGGGUAAGUCGGGGCCUAAGCCGAGGACGGAAGUCGUAGGCGAUGGACAGCAGGUGUAGAUUCCUGCACUACCGAUGGAAUGAAGCAGUGACACAGAAGGAUAACUCGAGCAGGGUGAUGGUCAACCCUGUGCAAGCAUUGAGGUUGGGUUGUAGUGAAGUACGCAAUCCUACAAGCUGAGGUGUGAUGCGGACCGAAAUUUCAGUAGGGAAGCGAGUGAGUUCACGCUGGCGAGAAAAGCUGCUAGUACAUCCAAAGGUACCCGUACCGGAAACCGACGCAGGUGGGCGAGGAGAGAAUCCUGAGACGAACGGGAGAACCCUUGUUAAGGAACUCGGCAAAAUGACCCCGUAACUUCGGGAUAAGGGGUGCCUGCGAGAGCAGGCCGCAGAGAAUAGUCACAAGCGACUGUUUAGCAAAAACACAGGUAUCUGCGAAAGCGAGAGCUGACGUAUAGGUGCUGACACCUGCCCGGUGCUGGAAGGUUAAGGGAACAUGUUAGAGCAAUCGAAGCAUCGAACCGAAGCCCCAGUAAACGGCGGCCGUAACUAUAACGGUCCUAAGGUAGCGAAAUUCCUUGUCGGGUAAGUUCCGACCCGCACGAAUGGUGUAACGACUUGUGAGCUGUCUCAACAGGGGGCCCGGUGAAAUUGAAGUAUGGGUGAAGAUGCCCAUUACCCGCGACUGGACGGAAAGACCCCGUAGAGCUUUACUGCAGCCUGAUAUUGAGUUUCGGUAACUGAUGCACAGGAUAGGUGGGAGUCUGAGAGACAUGGGUUUCGGCUCAUGUGGAGACGAUGUUGGGAUACCACUCUUCGGUUACUGAAAUUCUAACAUAGCUCUGUGAAACCAGAGGAUGGACAGUGUCAGGUGGACAGUUUGACUGGGGCGGUCGCCUCCGAAAGAGUAACGGAGGCGCCCAAAGGUACCCUCAGAAUGGAUGGAAACCAUUCGAAGAGCGCAAAGGCAGAAGGGUGCCUGACUGCGAGAUUGACAAAUCGAGCAGAGACGAAAGUCGGGCUUAGUGAUCCGGCGGUAUUGAGUGGAAAAGCCGUCGCUUAACGGAUAAAAGCUACCUCGGGGAUAACAGGCUGAUCUCCCCCAAGAGUCCACAUCGACGGGGAGGUUUGGCACCUCGAUGUCGGCUCGUCGCAUCCUGGGGCUGAAGCAGGUCCCAAGGGUUCGGCUGUUCGCCGAUUAAAGCGGCACGCGAGCUGGGUUCAGAACGUCGUGAGACAGUUUGGUCUCUAUCCUCUGCGCUCGUUGGAAUGCUGAGGAGGCCUGCCCAUAGUACGAGAGGACCUGGGUGGACGAACCUCUGGUAUGCCGGUUGUCACGCCAGUGGCACGGCCGGUUGGCUACGUUCGGAAGGGAUAACCGCUGAAAGCAUCUAAGCGGGAAGCCUGCUCCAAGAUAAGCAUUCCGUGGAACCUUCGAGUUCCUGUAGUCCCCAUGCAGAACACGUGGUCGAUAGGCCGGACGUGGAAGCCCCGCGAGGGGUGGAGCCGACCGGUACUAACGGACGAAAGGCAACACUAA
rnacentral:rRNA from 1 species